rnacentral:lncRNA from 1 species
UACUUGAUUCAGGUCGGGGUUGGGUUUAGGUUAGGGUUAGGGUUAAGGGCUAAGGUUUGGUCAGUGGUAGGGUUGAGUUAGGGUUAGGGUUAGGGUUAGAGUUAAGGGUUAGGGUUAGGGUUAAGGUUAAGGAUUAUGGUUCGGAUAAUGUUAGAUUUAAGGGUCAAGGGUCAGAUUAGGAUUAGGGUUCAUGGCUAGGGUUAGGUU